rnacentral:rRNA from 1 species
GCAAGUUGAACGGGAAGAUACCUUCGGGUGUCGGCGAGUAGCGCACGGGUGCGUAACGCGUAGGAAUAUACCAUAUGGUAGAGAAUAACUAUUGGAAACGAUAGCUAAUACUCUAUAGUCCCUUGGGGUAAAGAUUUAUCGCCAUAUGAUUAGCCUGCGUUAGAUUAGCUAGUUGGUGAGGUAAGAGCUCACCAAGGCUACGAUCUAUAGCUGGUCUGAGAGGAUGAUC